rnacentral:rRNA from 1 species
CCGGGCAGCUACGCGCCAGUGGCUAAAGGCUGAAAGCAUCUAAGCCUGAAGCCACCCCCGAAAAGAGCCGCCCUUAAGGGCUCUGCUAAAAGAGCAGGUUGAUAGGACCGGGGUGUAAGCGGCAAGCUUCGGCGAGCCGUUCAGCCCGCGGUCACUAAUCGCCCGCGC